rnacentral:rRNA from 1 species
AGCGAACGCUGGCGGCAGGCCUAACACAUGCAAGUCGAACGAAGUCUUCGGACUUAGUGGCGGACGGGUGAGUAACACGUGGGAACGUGGCUUUAGGUUCGGAAUAACUCAGGGAAACUUGUGCUAAUACCGAAUGUGCCCUUCGGGGGCAAGAUUUAUCGACUUUGGAGCUGGCAGCGUCUGAUUAGCUAGUUGGUGAGGUAAAGGAUCACCAAGGCUACGAUCAGUAGCUGGUCUGAGAGGAUGACCAGACACAUUGGGACUGAGAAACGGCCCAAAAUCCUACGCGAGGCAGCAGUGGGGAACCUUGCGCAAUGGGGGAAAGCCUGAAGCAGCCAUGCCGCGUGGAUGAUGAAGGUCUUAGGAUUGUAAGAUCCUUUAACCGGUGAAGAUAAUGACUGUAGCCGGAGAAGAAGCCCCGGCUAACUUCGUGCCAGCAGCCGCAGUAACAC